GACACAAGGCGCAGGCUCUCUGAAAAACCUGAUGGUCCUGCAUGUAUACCAGAGGACAAAGACACUACGUAUGUUGUUACGAAAACCGAAAAUCAACCUUCAUACGGUAGCAAGAUCUGCACUUUAAAAAAGAUGAAAAGUGAAAUGAACUUGUCUUCUCUGGGAAAGUAGUGCAAAUAGUGUCAGAGAAGAGGAACCCAGCCUGGAACAUUCCUUCACCUCCUUCAUACCCUCACUUCUGGGAACCCACAAGGUAAUCACCUUCUAAGGCAGUAAUUUGCAAUCUUCCUAAUGUUGUGACCAUCUGAUGCACUUCCUCAUGUUGUGGUGACCCUCAACAUAAAAUUAUUUUCCUUGCUACUUCAUAACUGCAAUUUUGCUAGUGUUAUGAAUUAUAAUGUCAACAUCUAUAUUUUCAGAAGGUCUUAGGUGACCUCCAUG